rnacentral:rRNA from 1 species
GUGGAUCCUGUGAACUGCAGGACACAUGAACACCGACAAGUUGAACGCAUAUUGCACAUCGUACCACAGUACGAUGUACACAUUUUUGAGUGCCUAUAUUUAUCGAUACAACUAUACGUGUGCGUGCGCGUCCCACUGCCGGGUGGACAGGUGCACGGCCCAUGGCACGUAUGCGUAGUGAUGUUUUCCCUUGCCCUCCGGCUAGGCGGUAAAACAUUUAAAAUAAUCCUCGCCCCACACACCGGGCGCGGAUGAUGAAUACAUCCCAUACCCGCCGCGGUGGCACCGUGGCUAUGUUGUAUUCCAUCUUCGACGAUCACCAUACCCAGUAGGCCUCAAAUAAUGUGUGACUACCCCCUAAAAUUAAUAAUAUCGACAC